GGGUUGUGAGGUUAAGCGACUAAGCGUACACGGUGGAUGCCCUGGCAGUCAGAGGCGAUGAAGGACGUGCUAAUCUGCGAUAAGCGUCGGUAAGGUGAUAUGAACCGUUAUAACCGGCGAUUUCCGAAUGGGGAAACCCAGUGUGAUUCGUCACACUAUCAUUAACUGAAUCCAUAGGUUAAUGAGGCGAACCGGGGGAACUGAAACAUCUAAGUACCCCGAGGAAAAGAAAUCAACCGAGAUUCCCCCAGUAGCGGCGAGCGAACGGGGAGCAGCCCAGAGCCUGAAUCAGUGUGUGUGUUAGUGGAAGCGUCUGGAAAGGCGCGCGAUACAGGGUGACAGCCCCGUACACAAAAAUGCACAUACUGUGAGCUCGAUGAGUAGGGCGGGACACGUGGUAUCCUGUCUGAAUAUGGGGGGACCAUCCUCCAAGGCUAAAUACUCCUGACUGACCGAUAGUGAACCAGUACCGUGAGGGAAAGGCGAAAAGAACCCCGGCGAGGGGAGUGAAAAAGAACCUGAAACCGUGUACGUACAAGCAGUGGGAGCACAGAGCAAUCUGUGUGACUGCGUACCUUUUGUAUAAUGGGUCAGCGACUUAUAUUCUGUAGCAAGGUUAACCGAAUAGGGGAGCCGAAGGGAAACCGAGUCUUAACUGGGCGUUAAGUUGCAGGGUAUAGACCCGAAACCCGGUGAUCUAGCCAUGGGCAGGUUGAAGGUUGGGUAACACUAACUGGAGGACCGAACCGACUAAUGUUGAAAAAUUAGCGGAUGACUUGUGGCUGGGGGUGAAAGGCCAAUCAAACCGGGAGAUAGCUGGUUCUCCCCGAAAGCUAUUUAGGUAGCGCCUCGUGAAUUCAUCUCCGGGGGUAGAGCACUGUUUCGGCAAGGGGGUCAUCCCGACUUACCAACCCGAUGCAAACUGCGAAUACCGGAGAAUGUUAUCACGGGAGACACACGGCGGGUGCUAACGUCCGUCGUGAAGAGGGAAACAACCCAGACCGCCAGCUAAGGUCCCAAAGUCAUGGUUAAGUGGGAAACGAUGUGGGAAGGCCCAGACAGCCAGGAUGUUGGCUUAGAAGCAGCCAUCAUUUAAAGAAAGCGUAAUAGCUCACUGGUCGAGUCGGCCUGCGCGGAAGAUGUAACGGGGCUAAACCAUGCACCGAAGCUGCGGCAGCGACGCUUAUGCGUUGUUGGGUAGGGGAGCGUUCUGUAAGCCUGUGAAGGUGUGCUGUGAGGCAUGCUGGAGGUAUCAGAAGUGCGAAUGCUGACAUAAGUAACGAUAAAGCGGGUGAAAAGCCCGCUCGCCGGAAGACCAAGGGUUCCUGUCCAACGUUAAUCGGGGCAGGGUGAGUCGACCCCUAAGGCGAGGCCGAAAGGCGUAGUCGAUGGGAAACAGGUUAAUAUUCCUGUACUUGGUGUUACUGCGAAGGGGGGACGGAGAAGGCUAUGUUGGCCGGGCGACGGUUGUCCCGGUUUAAGCGUGUAGGCUGGUUUUCCAGGCAAAUCCGGAAAAUCAAGGCUGAGGCGUGAUGACGAGGCACUACGGUGCUGAAGCAACAAAUGCCCUGCUUCCAGGAAAAGCCUCUAAGCAUCAGGUAACAUCAAAUCGUACCCCAAACCGACACAGGUGGUCAGGUAGAGAAUACCAAGGCGCUUGAGAGAACUCGGGUGAAGGAACUAGGCAAAAUGGUGCCGUAACUUCGGGAGAAGGCACGCUGAUAUGUAGGUGAAGUCCCUCGCGGAUGGAGCUGAAAUCAGUCGAAGAUACCAGCUGGCUGCAACUGUUUAUUAAAAACACAGCACUGUGCAAACACGAAAGUGGACGUAUACGGUGUGACGCCUGCCCGGUGCCGGAAGGUUAAUUGAUGGGGUCAGCGCAAGCGAAGCUCUUGAUCGAAGCCCCGGUAAACGGCGGCCGUAACUAUAACGGUCCUAAGGUAGCGAAAUUCCUUGUCGGGUAAGUUCCGACCUGCACGAAUGGCGUAAUGAUGGCCAGGCUGUCUCCACCCGAGACUCAGUGAAAUUGAACUCGCUGUGAAGAUGCAGUGUACCCGCGGCAAGACGGAAAGACCCCGUGAACCUUUACUAUAGCUUGACACUGAACAUUGAGCCUUGAUGUGUAGGAUAGGUGGGAGGCUUUGAAGUGUGGACGCCAGUCUGCAUGGAGCCGACCUUGAAAUACCACCCUUUAAUGUUUGAUGUUCUAACGUUGACCCGUAAUCCGGGUUGCGGACAGUGUCUGGUGGGUAGUUUGACUGGGGCGGUCUCCUCCUAAAGAGUAACGGAGGAGCACGAAGGUUGGCUAAUCCUGGUCGGACAUCAGGAGGUUAGUGCAAUGGCAUAAGCCAGCUUGACUGCGAGCGUGACGGCGCGAGCAGGUGCGAAAGCAGGUCAUAGUGAUCCGGUGGUUCUGAAUGGAAGGGCCAUCGCUCAACGGAUAAAAGGUACUCCGGGGAUAACAGGCUGAUACCGCCCAAGAGUUCAUAUCGACGGCGGUGUUUGGCACCUCGAUGUCGGCUCAUCACAUCCUGGGGCUGAAGUAGGUCCCAAGGGUAUGGCUGUUCGCCAUUUAAAGUGGUACGCGAGCUGGGUUUAGAACGUCGUGAGACAGUUCGGUCCCUAUCUGCCGUGGGCGCUGGAGAACUGAGGGGGGCUGCUCCUAGUACGAGAGGACCGGAGUGGACGCAUCACUGGUGUUCGGGUUGUCAUGCCAAUGGCACUGCCCGGUAGCUAAAUGCGGAAGAGAUAAGUGCUGAAAGCAUCUAAGCACGAAACUUGCCCCGAGAUGAGUUCUCCCUGACCCUUUAAGGGUCCUGAAGGAACGUUGAAGACGACGACGUUGAUAGGCCGGGUGUGUAAGCGCAGCGAUGCGUUGAGCUAACCGGUACUAAUGAACCGUGAGGCUUAACCUUACAACGCCGAAG
rnacentral:rRNA from 1 species